UUAUCGUCAAUAAAGCUUUCAUAUAUGGACUCUGUUAUGCAAUAGUGUGUUAAGUACAUAGGAUUUCCAUAGCACUUAACACAUUGAUGCAUAACAGUAUCCAUA